GACGAACGCUGGCGGCGUGCUUAACACAUGCAAGUCGAGCGGAAAGGCCCUUCGGGGUACUCGAGCGGCGAACGGGUGAGUAACACGUGAGUAAUCUGCCCUUCACUCUGGGAUAACUGCCGGAAACGGUGGCUAAUACCGGAUAUGACCACUUCGCGCAUGUGAUGGUGGUGGAACGUUUUUUCGGUGGAGGAUGUGCUCGCGGCCUAUCAGCUUGUUGGUGGGGUAAUGGCCUACCAAGGCCUCGGCGGUUGGCCGGCCUGAGAGGGUGACCGGCCAAACUGGGACUGGGACACGGCCCAGAGUCCUACGGGAGGCAUCAGUGGGGAAUAUUGGACAAUGGGCGAAAGGCUGACCCAGCGACGCCGCGUGAGGGAUGACGGCCUUCGGGUUGUAAACCUCUUUCGGCAGGGACGAAGCGAAAGUGACGGUACCUGCAGAAGAAGGACCGGCCAACUACGUGCCAGCCGCCGCCGUAAAAC
rnacentral:rRNA from 1 species